rnacentral:rRNA from 1 species
AACGAACGCUGGCGGCAGGCCUAACACAUGCAAGUCGAGCGAGGACUUCGGUUCUAUCGGCGGACGGGUGAGUAACGCGUGGGAAUGUGCCCUUCUCUACGGAAUAGCCCUGGGAAACUGGGAGUAAUACCGUAUAGGCGCUAUUGGGGAAAGAUUUAUCGGAGAAGGAUCAGCCCGCGUUGGAUUAGGUAGUUGGUGGGGUAAUGGCCUACCAAGCCGACGAUCCAUAGCUGGUUUGGGAGCAUGAUCAGCCACACUGGGACUGAGACCCGGCCCAGACUCCUACGGGAGGCAGCAGUGGGGACUCUUAGACACUGGGGGCAAGCCUGAUCUAGCCAUGCCGCGUGAGUGAGGAAGGCCUUAGGGUUGUAAAGCUCUUUCAGCUGGGAAGAUAAUGACGGUGCCAGAAGAAGAAGCCCCGGCUAACUCCGUG